GAUGAACGCUAGCUACAGGCUUAACACAUGCAAGUCGAGGGGCAGCAUGAACAUAGCUUGCUAUGUUUGAUGGCGACCGGCGCACGGGUGCGUAACACGUAUCCAAUCUACCCAUGGCUCGGGGAUAGCCUUUCGAAAGAAAGAUUAAUACCCGAUGGUCUCGGUUUAAGGCACCUUAGACUGAGUAACGAUUUAUCGGCCAUGGAUGAGGAUGCGUCUGAUUAGGUAGAUGGCGGGGUAACGGCCCACCAUGCCUACGAUCAGUAGGGGUUCUGAGAGGAAGGUCCCCCACAUUGGAACUGAGACACGGUCCAAACUCCUACGGGAGGCAGCAGUGAGGAAUAUUGGUCAAUGGACGAGAGUCUGAACCAGCCAAGUAGCGUGAAGGAUGACUGCCCUAUGGGUUGUAAACUUCUUUUGUUUGGGAAUAAAGUUCGGGACGUGUCCCGUUUUGUAUGUACCAUUCGAAUAAGCAUCGGCUAAUUCCGUGCCAGCCGCCGCCGUAAGAC
rnacentral:rRNA from 1 species